rnacentral:lncRNA from 1 species
UUCACAUGACUAUUAUCAGCAUGACUUAUCCCAUGUCCUCAGGAACAAAAGUAACUACUCACAAAACAUAAUCAUAAUCAUGAUCAGAGGUGUAAUGAAUAGCAUCAAGAAUCUGAACAUAAACUCUUUCAUCAAGUAAUCCAACUAGCAUCAACUACAAAGAGUAAUCAACACUACUAGCAACCUUACAAGUAUCAAUCGGAGUUGCGAGACGAAGAUUGGUUACAAGAGAUGAACUAGGGAUUGGAGAGGAGAUGGUGCUGAUGAAGAUGUUGAUGAAGAUGCCUCCCCUCCGACGAGAAGGGUGUUGGUGAUGACGAUGGCGACGAUUUCCCCCUCCGGGAGGGAAGUUUUCCCGGCUGGAUCGUCCUAUCGGAGCUCUAAAUUGGAUCUGUUCAAGUUCCGUCUCGUGGCGGCGGCGAAAUCACGAAAAAGCUCCCGUCUGAUUUUUUAUGGACCAAGACGCUUCAUAUAGCAAAAGAGGGGGCUAGUGGGCCGUCAGGGAGCCCACAAGCCCCUACUCCGUCACCAGGGGGUGGUGGUGUCAUGGCUUGUGGCGCCCUGGCAGCCCCCCUCUGGUAGUUCCCUCGUCCAGUAUUUUUUAUAUAAUCUCAAAAAAUUCCACGUAACUUUUCAGGGCAUUUGGAGAUGUGCAGAAUAGUGGACUAGGAUUUGCUUCUUUUCCAGUCCAGAAUUUCAACUGCCUGAAUUUCCCUCUUCAAAUAAACCUUGCAAAAUAAAAGAGAAAAGACAUAAAUAUGGUACCACAAGUAAUAUAACAGCCCCCAAAAAAAUAUCAACAUGAAAGCAUGAUGUAAAAUGAACGUAUCAACUCCCUCAAGCUUAGACCUCGCUUGUCCUCAAGCGAAAACCAAGUUUCAUAAACAUGUCCACAUGUUGAGGGACGAAGGUGUCGAUAAAACAUAAUACAUACAUGAGGGCAUCAUGAUCACACAUAGGACAACAAUACAUCAUAAAGAUUCUUAUGGGAAAGUAACAAUUCCUUCACAAAGCAAAGCAUGAAGCAAAAACCUUAUCGAGAAGUAACCAACAGUAGUCCAUAGUCAUUGAAGCAAUUGCAAUUUAUCACAACAUCACAAAGAGUCAAAUAAGAGCUUUUAAGGCAAACCCACAUACUCAAUCAUCUCUUUUUUUCACAAUUGUUACAACUCACGUGGUACUCAUGGUGUCGAAGUUUCAGCUGGACACAGAGGAAGAUAGGGGCUUAUAGUUUUGCCUUCCAACCAUUUACCUUAAAGGUAAAGUCAACAACAAUAAAGCAUAAGUACUCAACUCCAAGUUGAUAUAUGAAUAUAGAUCUUUUCCAAGCAUAUGACGGUAGCCAAGACAAAUGCAAAAAUAGAGAAUUGAUGAUGAUCAUCAUGACUCUUACAAGGGCAAAAAGUAAAGGUACAAGAUAGGCCCUUCGCAGAGGGAAGCAGAGGUUGUCAUGCGCUUUUGAGGUUUGAAUGCGUGUCCUCUUAGUGCGGAGGAACGUCACUUUAUAUUGCCUCCUGUGAUAAAGAACUUUAUUAUGCAGUCUGUCGCUUUUAUGUCUUCCUCAUCACAGAUUCGUACAAAGUUUAUUUUCCACACACUAAUAGAUCAUACAAAUUAGAGAGCAAUUUUUAUUGCUUGCACCGAUGACAACUUACUUGAAGGAUCUUAUUCAAUCCAUAGGUAGGUAUGAUGGACUCUCAUGGCAAAACUGGGUUGGAGGUUUAUGGAUGCACAAGUAGUAUCUCUACUUGGUACAGGAGUUUUGGCUAAUAUGAGGUGGAAGCAAUCGUCACAUGCUAAGGGAUCUCUAAUCAUAUAACAUUGUUUGAAAUCAAGCAAACACAAUUCAUUAUGUUGUCUUUCUUGUCCAACAUCUAUUCCUAAGCAUGUAAUAGUUUGGUGAGUGCUCACAAUUGUAAAAAGUGUCUAAGAUGAUAUAUUUAUAUAUGAACCUCUCUUUCCUUAUUACUUCUUAUUAAUUGCAACAAUGACUGAGGUCUAUGUUGUUUUAUUCUCAACAAGUUUCAAUCAUCAUACGUGUCAUACGUGAAGUUAUCACUUUCCAUAAGAUCAUCUCAUGAUCUUUCAUGUUAUCGUUCUUUUCAUACUUUUGAUCAUGGCACAAAGCAAAGCCCUUGACUAAGAUACUCUUUAUUAUAUAGCUCGUAAGCUCGAAUACAUCGGGAGAGAGACAAAAGCAAAAGACUCAAACUAAACACUAAAGAUUUAUUCCUCUAAGAGAAGAAAUAAAAACUGAAAAUGAAGAACUAAAACAAAGGUAAAAGCAAAAGAAAUAAAGGUGAUACGAUAUCAGGGCAACUCCCCCAAGCUUGACAGAUGUCAAGAGGAUUGCCCAUACCAAUGCUUAGUUGCCUUCCUUCGGUGGUGAUGGUGGUGGAGUUGUUGAAGCAGUCUUGAGCUUGUCUAAUUUCCACUUGAGCAAAAAGUUCUACUCCCUCAAAUCGUCAUUUUCUUCCUCAAGCUUCAACACUCCAUGGUAAAGUUCCUGCUUACUCUCCUGCAAGAAACGAAAAGAGAUAAAAAGGUCUUAGGCUUCUUCCUAUGGCCAGGGAGGGUUGACUUCUUGAACUCCACAUGGGUGUUUGCAGGUUGAGGUAGAGGAGCCUCCUCUUCAUCGGAACUCAUUUGCUCCUUCCCUUUGGGCUCAUAGUCCUCUUCCUCAUCAGUUAUCCAGCCAUAUGGUUCCAAGUCCCCAUAGACCUUGGAGUUAGCAAGGUAGUUAGCCACAUAGCUCUCUCCCUCUGAAUCUUGAGAAGACAUCCUGACCUAGAUCUGCGGCAGAACAAGCUCGAAACAAAAACAGAGGAAAACUACGCGAUACGGAGAUCAAAACCUUCGGGCGACUAUAUAUUGAUUUUUUCUGGGCCAGAAGGAGUCCUCCGCUAGAAAACGGAGUCCGGGAGGCACACGAGGUGCCCACAAGCUUGCCCUCUGCCACCAGGGGGUAGGGGGCGGUGGCAGGGCUUGUGGCCACCUCGUUCGCUCUCCGGACUGCUUUUUAUUUUUCUAAUUUUCCAAAAAUUCCAAAACGGAAGAAAUUUCCUAUUGGAAAAGCAUCAGAGUCCAAUUUCUUACCGAAACAGAUGCAUCUUCGUUUUCAAGGUCUGAAACAGGCUGAUAAACAUCCCUUAUGUACUCCUCUGGAGUUAUGACAUUGAUGAUAUUGGUCUCAACAUUUAUGAAAGUACCAGAGAUGUAAUGCUUGAUUCUUUGCCCAUUUACCACUCUAGGAAAAUUUCCUUCCGUGUUAUUGAUUUUGAUGGCACCGGAACGAUAUACUUCCUCGAUAACAUAGGGACCUUCCCAUUUAGAGAGAAGCUUGCCUGCAAAGAAUCUCAAACGAGAAUUGUAUAGCAGGACAUAAUCACCUACAUUGAACUCUCGCUUGUGUAUUCGUUUGUCGUGCCAUCUCUUAACCUUUUUCUUGAACAACCUGGCAUUCUCAUAUGCGUGGGCUCUUCAUUCAUCUAACGAGCUGAUAGCAAACAACCGCUUCUCACCGGCAAGUUUGGAAUCAAAGUUGAGCUCUUUGAUUGCCCAAUAAGCUUUGUGUUCUAGCUCAAGAGGUAAAUGACAUGCUUUACCGUAAACCAUUUUAUACGGCGACAUGCUCAUGGGAUUCUUAUAAGCAGUCCUAUAAGCCCAUAGUGCAUCGUCAAGUUUGCUAGACCAGUUCUUUUGAGAUCUAUUGACGAUCUUUUGUAGGAUCAACUUGAUCUCCGUAUUACUCAACUCUACUUGACCACUAGACUGAGGAUGAUAAGGGGAUGCAACUCUAUGGUUGACAUCAUACUUAGCUAGCAUCUUGUGGAAAACACCAUGAAUGAAGUGUGAACCGCCAUCAGUCAUCAAGUAUCUAGGGUCUCCAAAUCUUGGAAAUAUGACUUCUUUAAGCAUUUUAAUAGAGGUGUGGUGAUCAACAUUUUUAGUGGGGAUAGCCUCUACCCACUUAGUAACGUAAUCCAUAGCAACUAAGAUGUGAGUGUACCCAUUGAAACUCGGGAAGGGUCCCAUAUAAUCAAAGCCCCAGACAUCAAAUGGUUCAAUGACAAGUGAAUAGUUCAUAGUCAUUUCCUGACGCUUACUGAUAUUCCCUAUUCUUUGGCAUUCGUCGCAAGACAAGACAAACUUACGGGCAUCCUUGAAGAGAGUGGGCCAAUAGAAACCUGAUUGCAAUAUCUUAUGGGCAGUUCUAUCUCCAGCAUGGUGUCCUCCGUAGGCUUCGGAAUGACACUUCUGCAAGAUCUGUCUCUGUUCAUGUUCAGACACACAACGUAUAAUAACACCAUAUACCCCUUCCUUAUAAAGGUGAGGAUCAUCCCAAAAGUAGUGUCUCAAAUCAAAGAAGAAUUUCUUCUUUUGCUGAUAGGUGAAACUGGGUGGUAUGUAUUUGGCUACGAUAUAGUUUGCAUAAUCAGCAUACCACGGUGCACUAUGUGAAGUGCGGAUGACAUUUAAUUGCCCAUCAGGAAAGCUAUCAUCAAUAGGUAGUGGGUCAUCAAGGACAUUCUCUAACCUAGACAAGUUAUCUACUACAGGGUUAUCAGCACCCUUUCGGUCAACGACGUGCAAAUCAAAUUCCUAUAGCAGGAGAACCCAUUUGAUCAGCCUAGGCUUAGCGUCCUUCUUCUUCAUAAGGUACUUAAUAGCAGCAUGAUCAGAGUGAAUAGUGACUUUGGAGUCAACUAUAUAAGAUCUGAAAUUUUCACAUGCAAACACGGCUGCUAUAAAUUCCUUCUCCGUAGUGGCAUAGUUUCUUUGGGCAUUGUCUAGAGUUUUACUAGCGUAGUGAAUGACAUUCAACUUCUUGUCAACUCUUUGUCCUAGAACAGCACCAACAGCAUAAUCACUAGCGUCACAUAUGAUUUCAAAGGGCAAGUUCCAGUCAGGUGGUUGAACAAUAUGUGCGGUUAUCAAAGCCUUCUUAAGUAUUUCGAAGGCUUCUUCACAAUCCUCAUCAAAAACAAAGGGAACAUCCUUCUACAAGAGGUUGGUAAGAGGCCUAGAAAUCUUAAAGAAGUAUUUAAUGAACCUUCUAUAGAAACCAGCAUGACCUAGGAAACUUCGUAUACCUCUGAUAUCUAUGAGGCAAGGCAUUUUCUCAAUUACAUCAACCUUAGCCUUAUCAACUUCAAUGCCUCUUUCGGAGAUCUUGUGUCCUAAGACGAUACCUUCAUUAACCAUAAAGUGGCACUUCUCCCAAUUCAAGACGAGGUUGGUUUCUUCGCAUCUCUGUAAGACUCGAUCAAGGUUGCUGAGGCAAUCAUCAAAGGAAGACCCGUAAACAGAGAAGACAUCCAUGAAAACCUCGACAAUCUUUUCACAAAAGUCAGAGAAUAUAGCCAUCAUACAUCUUUGAAAGGUGGCAGGUGCAUUGCAUAAGCCAAAAGGCAUACGUCUAUAAGCAAAGGUACCGAAAGGGCAGGUAAAAGUGGUUUUCUCUUGAUCAGUUUGUGCAACAGGUAUUUGCGAGAAACCUGAAUAACCGUCUAGAAAGCAGAAGUGUGUGUGUUUUGAUAGUCUUUCUAGCAUUUGGUCGAUGAACGGCAAAGGAUAGUGAUCUUUCCUGGUUGCCUUGUUCAGUUUCCGGAAGUCUAUCACCAUCCUAUAGCCGGUAAUAAUCCUUUGUGGGAUUAGUUCAUCCUUAUCAUUAGGAACGACGGUGAUACCUCCCUUCUUAGGUACGCAAUGUACUCGACUUACCCAAUCACUAUGAGCAACAAGAUAAAUGAUUCCUGCUUCCAGAAGCUUUAAUAUUUCUUUUCUAACGACCUCUUUCAUCUUAGGAUUUAAUCUCCUUUGAUGAUCAGCAACUGGUUUAAAGUCAGGAUCGGUUUUAAUCUUGUGCUGACAUAGAGUAUGACUAAUACCCUUAAGAUCAUCAAGAGUAUAUCCAAUAGCAGCGCGGUGCUUCCUCAGAGUCCUUAGUAACUUCUUCUCUUCGUGCUCUGAGAGGUGGGCACUAAUAAUGACGGGAUAUAUCUCCUUCUCAUCAAGAUAGGCAUACUUAAGAGUAUCAAGCAACUGUUUAAGCUCGAACACAGGAUCACCCUUUGGUGGGGAGGAUCCCCAAGCAGUUCAACAGGCAUAUUAUUCUUGAGAAUAGGAUAUUUUUCAAAGACAAUUUUAUCUAUCUCAUCUCUCUCCUCCAUAUGCAUAUCAUUUUCAUGCUCAAGCAGAUAUUGCUCUAAAGGAUCCGUAGGAGGUACGGCAAUAGAGGCACGAGCAAUAAUUUCAUCUCUAUCAGACGACUCUCUUUCAUGAGGUUGUCUUCCAAACUUGGAGAAGUUAAAUUCAUGAGACACACCCUUGAAACUAACUGUGACGGUCUGCUUAAUGCAAUCAAUGUGAGCAUUGACAGUGUUGAGAAAUGGUCUACCGAAUAUGAUGGGACAAAAGCUAUCUUGUGCAGUACCAAGGACGAGGAAAUUAGUAGGAUACUUCGUCUUACCACACAGGACUUCUACGUCUCUCACAAUUCCCAGAGGGCAAAUAGUGUCUCUAUUAGCUAGCGUAAUAGUGACAUCAAUGGGUUCUAACUCAGCAGGUGCAAUCUCAUCUUUGAUUUCAUCAUAUAGAGAACGGGGUAUUGCACUUACACUAGCUCCCAUAUCACAUAAACCAUGGUAACAGUGAUCUCCUAUCUUGACAGAAACAACGGGCAGGCCAACUACAGGUCCGUGUUUGUAUUUCGCGUGAGGUUUAGCAAUUCUAGCAGAGUCCUCACAGAAUUUGAUAACAUGCCCAUCUAUGUCUUUGGCUAAGAGAUCUUUGAUAAUAGCAACACCAGGUUCAACUUUAAUCUCUUCAGGGGUGCAAGUGGUCUAAUGUAACCCCUACGUAUCACAGUUGGAGCUUUAGAAUAAUCCUUUAUCCUAGAAGGGUAUGGUGGUUUCUCAGUGUAAGCACAAGGAACAAUAGGAUCACUAAAAGCAAUGACUUUCUCCUCAACUAGAUUGGUUUUGGCUAUGUUGCUUUCUAUAGGAGGAUGAUAUUUAAACCACUUCUCUUUGGGAAGAUCAACAUGAGCAACAAAAGAUUCACAUAGAGAAGCUACUAUUUCAGAGUCAAGUCCGUACUUAGCGCUAAAAUCUCUAGAAGUGUAUGUCUCAACAAAAGAUUUAACGCAAUCAAACUGGAAAUUCAUACCUGACUCCUUACCUUCCUCCAGCUCCCAAUCUUCAGAGUUGCGUUUGAUUCUUUCCAAUAAAUUCCACUUGUGAUCAAUAUCCUUCUUCAUAAAAGAACCGGUACAAGAAGUGUCAAGCAUGGUAUGAUCUUCAUGAGAAAGCCGAGCAUAAAAGUUUUGAAUAUAGCAUUGAUUUAAGCCUCCCCUAAGCUUGAGCUAUGCUUUCCCUGUCACGAGGCCAAAAGUUAUAAAUAAAGUUACGAUCACGAUGUACUAAACGCAUAGGAUAUAACUUUUGAUGCAAUUCCAAUUUCAACCGAUUGUAGCCCCAUGAUCCAGUAUCAUCACAUAGCCUAUACCAUGUCAACGCCUUAUUCUUCAAAGAUAAAGGAAAUAAUUUCUUAUUUACCUCAUCCUCGGGCAAACCUGCAAGCUUAAAUAAACCACAAACUUCAUCUACAUAGAUCAGAUGCAAGUCUGGAUUUGAAGAUCCAUCUCCUGUGAAAGGAUUAGCCAGCAGUUUCUCAAGCAUACCCGAAGGAAUUUCAUAAAAGAUAUUUUCAGUAGGUACCUUAGGUCGAGGAACAACUCCUCGUGGUUCCGUUCGUGGUGAAGAUACCCCGAACAAACUCCUCAAAGGAACAGUUUCCAUAGUGACAAGUGACAAUAAAUUUCAGCACAGUAUAUAAAUGUUUCCUUACCAAUCUCCACUUACCAAAGACGCUUCACUCCCCGGCAACGGCGCCAGAAAAGAGUCUUGAUGACCCACAAGUAUAGGGGAUCAAUCGUAGUCCUUUCGAUAAGUAAGAGUGUUGAACCCAACGAGGAGCAGAAGGCUCUGAUAAACGGAUUUCAGCAAGGUAAUAACUGCAAGCACUGAAAGUAGCGGUAACAAGUGAUUGUGUAGCGAGGUGAAACGUAGCGAGCAAAAAGUAACAAGUAACAAGUAGUAGCAAUGGUGCAGCAAGUGGCCCAAUCCCUUUUGUAGCAAGGGACAAGCCUGGACAAGGGAAUUUCUGUCAUGCUAGUUUGAUCAUGUUCAUAUGAUUCGCGUUCGUUACUUUGAUAGUUUGAUAUGUGGGUGGACCGGCGCUUGGGUACUGCCCUUACUUGGACAAGCAUCCCACUUAUGAUUAACCUCUCUCGCAAGCAUCCGCAACUACAAAAGAAGAAUUAAGGCAAAGUCUAACCAUANNNNNNNNNNNNNNNNNNNNNNNNNNNNNNNNNNNNNNNNNNNNNNNNNNNNNNNNNNNNNNNNNNNNNNNNNNNNNNNNNNNNNNNNNNNNNNNNNNNNNNNNNNNNNNNNNNNNNNNNNNNNNNNNNNNNNNNNNNNNNNNNNNNNNNNNNNNNNNNNNNNNNNNNNNNNNNNNNNNNCCCCUUACGAAGCAACGCAUAGACUGGGGUUGAAGCUUCUGUCACUCCAGCAACCCAUCAUCUACUUACUACUUCCCAAUGCAUUCCUCUAGGCCCAAAUAUGGUGAAGUGUUAUGUAGUCGACGUUCAUAUAACAUCACUAGAGGAAAAACAACAUACAACUUAUCAAAAUACCGAACGAAUAUCAAAUUCACAUAUGACUAUUAUCAGCAUGACUUAUCCCAUGUCCUCAGGAACAAAAGUAACUACUCACAAAACAUAAUCAUAAUCAUUAUCAGAGGUGUAAUGAAUGGCAUCAAGGAUCUGAACAUAAACUCUUACACCAAGUAAUCCAACUAGCAUCAAUUACAAAGAGUAAUCAACAGUACUAGCAACCUUACAAGUACCAAUCGGAGUUGCGAGACGAAGAUUGGUUACA